CCUUUCCCUGUUGGAGGAGAACAGUAAAACUACAAUUGAAAAACAUUUCACCGGGCCACAGGCCGUCCCGUAUUAGGGGUAUUUUGCUUCCGGUAUCAGAAGAAACGAGUAGUUUUGUCUCUCCCACACUUUUUUUGGAAGCUGAACUUUUUUAGAGUGGAAAAUGGGUAUUUGAGACUGUUGGCACAUUUCCCUCCUCCACAAUGGCCACCGAAACCUUUCUGGUGAAUGAAGACCCCUCCAGAGGUCCUGGGAUGCCUGAAUGCUUUGUAGUAUCAGAUUCCUACAGGUAUUGCACUACUCACCUUCUAAACAAUCCAUUAGUGG